rnacentral:rRNA from 1 species
UGGGGAAUAUUCCACAAUGGAGGAAACUCUGAUGUAGCAACGCCGCGUGGAGGAUGACACAUUUCGGUGCGUAAACUCCUUUUAUAUGGGAAGAUAAUGACGGUACCAUAUGAAUAAGCACCGGCUAACUCCGUGCCAGCAGCCGCGGUAAUACGGAGGGUGCAAGCGUUACUCGGAAUCACUGGGCGUAAAGCGCGCGCAGGCGGUCUUUUAAGUUGGAUGUGAAAUCCUAUGGCUCAACCAUAGAACUGCAUCCAAAACUGAAAGACUAGAGUCUGGGAGGGGAAGAUGGAAUUAGUGGUGUAGGGGUAAAAUCCGUAGAGAUCACUAGGAAUACCAAAAGCGAAGGCGAUCUUCUGGAACAGUACUGACGCUGAGGCGCGAAAGCGUGGGGAGCAAACA